ACGAAUCACGCGGUAAAAUCCAUACUUCUCGACGGUCGAGCCCGGGCAUCCAUCUUGGCAAUCUUGGUUUGCUAUGUGCACUGGUGCCCCGUACGGCUGUGAUGGCGACGAGGGGGACACGCUGCUCCCGAUAGAAUAAGGGAGCUCCUACGUAAAAAGAGGAUGGAAGAAGAAAGUGAGAUGCAAGACAAAUCGUUGCUCGCAGCUGCACUGCAUUUUUGGGGAGAAAGAGAGAGAGAGAGAGAGAGAGAGAGAGAGAGAGGGAGAAAGAAAGAAAGAAAAAGAGCGAAAGAGAAGGGCGAGAGGACAGAGAGAGAGAGAGAGGGAUGGAUGGAAACGUAAUCGAUUGUAGGUCGUUAAAGGUGCGAUAAGAAAUUUACGAUGUAUCAUUAAUCAAAAGAAAUAUUCUAAUCAAAUACAAUAUUAUUGAGUUUAUUAGUUA